CCUACGGGGGGCUGCAGUGGGGAAUAUUGGACAAUGGGCGCAAGCCUGAUCCAGCAAUGCCGCGUGUGUGAAGAAGGCCUGCGGGUUGUAAAGCACUUUAAGCAGGAAAGAAGGGGUGAAAGUUAAUACCUUUCAUCAUUGACGUUACCUGCAGAAUAAGCACCGGCUAACUCCGUGCCAGCAGCCGCGGUAAUACGGAGGGUGCGGCGCUUAAUCGGAAUUACCGGGCCGUAAGCGCGGCUCGGCGGUUAACCUGGGAACUGCGGUGGAUACUGUCGGGCUAGAGUGUGGUAGAGGGGAGUUGAAUUUCCGGUGUAGCAGUGAAAUGCGUAGAGAUCGGAAGGAACACCAGUGGCGAAGGCGGCUCCCUGGACUAACACUGACGCUGAGGUGCGAAAGCGUGGGGAGCAAACAGGAUUAGAUACCCCUGUAGUC
rnacentral:rRNA from 1 species